GAAUGCAUCUCGGAGCAACUGUGUGCGCAGUUGUCUGAAGCCCCGGAGAGGAGCGAGCUUUUAGCCGAGGGACAUUGGAUGACUUUGUCCCCGUGUGUUUGUCAGGUUGAAGACAGCAGACUGUGCGGUCAGCAGCGGAGCUCAUGCCUAAUACCUGUCAUCAACAAACUGCAGGAUGUGUUCAACACGGUGGGCGCAGACAUUAUUCAACUGCCGCAGAUAGUUGUUGUGGGAACUCAGUUGGGGGGUGACCUUGCAGUUGUUCAGGAUAUGGAGGACCAGAAAUUCUUGACCAACUUCACUCAUCAAUUUAAACAGAAUCAUUUUUCCGGCAAGGUUUUCCAUGCUGCUUGGAUCGGAUUGACAGACGAGAAAACUCAGUUUUGUGUGGGUCAACAACAAAACACUCCAAUCAAGUGUCAGUUUCUGGUCAAAAGGGGAGCCAAACAACUUUAUUGCCGUUUGGGACAAAGAAGAAAAUGGACAAGACUGUGUUGGCAUUCUACCACCCGAUGACUUUGGAGGGGAGAGGUGGUUGUUCAACUGGGAUGACAUAACUUGUGUCGGCGGCCGACACUAUGUCUGUGAAAUUGGGGGGUGACCUUGCAGUUGUUCAGGAUAUGGAGGACCAGAAAUUCUUGACCAACUUCACUCAUCAAUUUAAACAGAAUCAUUUUUCCGGCAAGGUUUUCCAUGCUGCUUGGAUCGGAUUGACAGACGAGAAAACUCAGUUUUGUGUGGGUCAACAACAAAACACUCCAAUCAAGUGUCAGUUUCUGGUCAAAAGGGGAGCCAAACAACUUUAUUGUCGUUUGGGACAAAGAAGAAAAUGGACAAGACUGUGUUGGCAUUGUACCACCCGAUGACUUUGGAGGGGAGAGGUGGUUGUUCAACUGGGAUGACAUAACUUGUGUCGGCGGCCGACACUAUGUCUGUGAAAGUAAGGCUGUUGUCUCAUGAUCCAGUCCCAAUAGAUAUUUGGACUGGAUCAAAACUGGUCCAGUCCCAAUAUCUGGACCAGUUUUGGGACUGGUCCAGAUAUUGGACCAGUAUCUGGACCAAUAUCCAGGUCGAGUUGACAGUCAAUGGGACGACAUCAUUUUUUGAGUCGAUGUAGAAAUAGAUUAUAGGUUUGUCUAAUAAUAAAUAUAGACUUAAUAUGUGGCCUCAGCUUUUUCGGGUUUUUAUUGCUUUUGUGAAUUGAUAGUCAUCAACUCUAUGAGGGUUUAAUUGAGGGAACAUAGGGCUUACACACACAUAAUGGUGAAUGUACAUAAACACACUCCCUCUAUAGUACAGGAACAUAUGGUAGAUGCAUAGAUGUAGUUGAACUUGUCUGAGCUUAAAGUUUGGUGUUUUUUGGUGUUGUCUCAUAAGGAGUUUUAGUUUACAUUGCAUUUACAUUUUCUAGGUCAAGCAACUUACAAAAUCCACAUUUUGGUUUAGCAGUGGAACUGUACAUGAGAUGUGGAGUAUAAUCUUUGACCCAAUGAAGACACAUUGAAUCCGUAUUUCAUCUACUUGAUGAUAAAUAGUCAUUUGAAUAGUGAUUUUCGAUUGGAGGUUAGGUUUCAUUGUCACUGACAUCCUUUACCAAGAUGGUUCACAAAGCCUUUUUUGUCAUAAUAGAAAAUAGGAUUGCUCUAUUUUUGAAAAGCAAAACCUUAUGUUACUUUGUUCACAGUUAGUAUUUCAGAAACAAAAGUUUGUUAAACUUUGAAAACUUCAUGCAUCAUAUAUUCAUCGACCUUCUUCUGUAAAUAACUCCAAAUUAGAUUGUCUGUUCUGCUGUUCCUUUGUUUUCUUCUCUACCUUCUGUUGAUUAAAUACAGGCAAUGUAACAAGGAAAUGUUCAUUUGCUAUGCACCCUUUUA